rnacentral:rRNA from 1 species
GUUGUAUAGUCAAGUAAUUAAGUGCAUGUGGUGGAUGCCUUGGCAGUCAGAGGCGAUGAAAGACGUGAUAGCCUGCGAAAAGCUCCGGGGAGGCGGCAAAUAUCCUUUGAUCCGGAGAUUUCUGAAUGGGGGAACCCACCUACUUUAAGGUAGGUAUUGCAACAUGAAUACAUAGUGUUGCAAGGCGAACGAGGGGAAGUGAAACAUCUCAGUACCCUUAGGAAAAGAAAUCAAUUGAGAUUCCCUCAGUAGCGGCGAGCGAACGGGGAUCAGCCCAUUAAGUUAUGUGUGUUUUAGUGGAACGCUCUGGGAAGUGCGAACGUAGAGGGUGAUAUUCCCGUACACGAAAGGGCACACAUAAUGAUGACGAGUAGGGCGAGGCACGUGAAACCUUGUCUGAAUAUGGGGGGACCAUCCUCCAAGGCUAAAUACUCCUGACUGACCGAUAGUGAACCAGUACCGUGAGGGAAAGGCGAAAAGAACCCCUGUGAGGGGAGUGAAAUAGAUCCUGAAACCGCAUGCAUACAAGCAGUGGGAGCACCUUCGUGGUGUGACUGCGUACCUUUUGUAUAAUGGGUCAGCGACUUAUAUUCAGUAGCGAGGUUAACCGUAUAGGGGAGCCGUAGAGAAAUCGAGUCUUAAUAGGGCGUUUAGUUGCUGGGUAUAGACCCGAAACCAGGCGAUCUAUCCAUGAGCAGGUUGAAGGUUGGGUAACACUAACUGGAGGACCGAACCCACUGUCGUUGAAAAGCCAGGGGAUGACUUGUGGAUAGGGGUGAAAGGCUAAUCAAGCCUGGUGAUAGCUGGUUCUCCCCGAAAGCUAUUUAGGUAGCGCCUCGGACGAAUACCAUAGGGGGUAGAGCACUGUUUCGGCUAGGGGGUCAUCCCGACUUACCAAACCGAUGCAAACUCCGAAUACCUAUGAGUACUAUCCGGGAGACAGACUGCGGGUGCUAACGUCCGUAGUCAAGAGGAAAACAAUCCAGACCGCCAGCUAAGGCCCCAAAAUCAUAGUUAAGUGGGAAACGAUGUGGGAAGGCAUAGACAGCUAGGAGGUUGGCUUAGAAGCAGCCACCCUUUAAAGAAAGCGUAAUAGCUCACUAGUCGAGUCGGCCUGCGCGGAAGAUGUAACGGGGCUAAAACUAUGUGCCGAAGCUGCGGAUUUGACAUUAGUCAAGUGGUAGGGGAGCGUUCUGUAAGCCGAUGAAGGUGUAUUGAGAAGUAUGCUGGAGGUAUCAGAAGUGCGAAUGCUGACGUGAGUAACGACAAAACGGGUGAAAAACCCGUUCGCCGAAAGACCAAGGGUUCCAGUCCAACGUUAAUCGGGGCUGGGUGAGUCGACCCCUAAGGCGAGGCCGAAAGGCGUAGUCGAUGGGAAAUUGGUUAAUAUUCCAAUACUUCUGUGUAAUGCGAUGAGAGGACGGAGAAGGUUAAGUCAGCCUGGCGUUGGUUGUCCAGGUGGAAGGAUGUAGGUAUGUAUCUUAGGCAAAUCCGGGGUACUC